rnacentral:rRNA from 1 species
UGGGAAUUUUGGACAAUGGGCGCAAGCCUGAUCCAGCCAUGCCGCGUGCGGGAAGAAGGCCUUCGGGUUGUAAACCGCUUUUGUCAGGGAAGAAAUCUUCUGAGUUAAUACCUCGGGAGGAUGACGGUACCUGAAGAAUAAGCACCGGCUAACUACGUGCCAGCAGCCGCGGUAAUACGUAGGGUGCAAGCGUUAAUCGGAAUUACUGGGCGUAAAGCGUGCGCAGGCGGUUUUGUAAGACAGAGGUGAAAUCCCCGGGCUCAACCUGGGAACUGCCUUUGUGACUGCAAGGCUUGAGUGCGGCAGAGGGGGAUGGAAUUCCGCGUGUAGCAGUGAAAUGCGUAGAUAUGCGGAGGAACACCGAUGGCGAAGGCAAUCCCCUGGGCCUGCACUGACGCUCAUGCACGAAAGCGUGGGGAGCAACCCAGGAUUAGAUACCCUGGUAGUCCACGCCCUAAACGAUGUCAACUGGUUGUUGGGAAGGUUCCUUCUCAGUAACGUAGCUAACGCGUGAAGUUGACCGCCUGGGGAGUACGGCCGCAAGGUUGAAACUC